UACAGAGGUCCCAAGCGUUGUUCGGAUUCACUGGGCGUAAAGGGUGCGUAGGUGGUGAGGUAAGUCGGAUGUGAAAUCUCCGAGCUCAACUCGGAAAUGGCAUUGGAAACUACCUUGCUCGAGGGUUGGAGGGGGGACUGGAAUGCUUGGUGUAGCAAUGAAAUGCGUAGAUAUCAAGCGGAACACCAGUGGCGAAGGCGAGUCCCUGGACAACUCCUGACACUGAGGCACGAAAGCUAGGGGGGCAAACAGG
rnacentral:rRNA from 1 species